rnacentral:rRNA from 1 species
CCUACGGGCGGCAGCAGUGAGGAAUAUUGGUCAAUGGGCGCGAGCCUGAACCAGCCAAGUAGCGUGAAGGAUGACGGCCCUACGGGUUGUAAACUUCUUUUAUACGGGAAUAACGUGAGUCACGUGUGCCGUUUUGCAUGUACUUUAUGAAUAAGGAUCGGCUAAUUCCGUGCCAGCAGCCGCGGUAAUACGGAGGAUCCGGGCGUUAUCCGGAUUUAUUGGGUUUAAAGGGAGCGUAGACCGGUUGUUAAGCCAGUUGUGAAAUUUUGCGGCUCAACCGUGAGAUUGCAAUGGAUACUGGCAGCCUUGAGUGCAGUUGAGGUAGGCGGAAUUCGUGGUGUAGCGGUGAAAUGCUUAGAUAUCACGAAGAACUCCGAUUGCGAAGGCAGCCUACUAAACUGCCACUGACGCUGAUGCUCGAAAGUGGGGGUAUCGAACAGGAUUAGAUACCCGUGUAGUC